GCAUAGACAAUUAUUGAGCAAAGAUCAUCACAUGGUCUUGAUUUAAAAAAGACAAUACAGAAAAAUGAAAGAUGUUAUAAUAACUGUGUAUUUGUGUAUUGUUUAGUUAGCUACAACUAUUGGUUAUAUUUAGUGAAAAGAACAUCAAGUCUUACAGUUGCCACUACCACAAAGCUUGAGAGAGAGCUAGACUAACAUGGCAGAAACUGCAGUGUCCUUUGUGUUUCCAAAAUUUUUGGAAGCUGUAAAGAUGCUGAGAGAUCUCCCAAAAGAAGUUGAAGAACUUACUGAUGAACUAGAAAGCUUUCAAGAUUUCAUCCAUGAUGCAAAUAAAAUGGCUGAAGCUGAAGAAGAUAACAAUAGGCGCGAUAGAAUGAGAAAAAGGUUGAUGAGGCUGAGAAAAACAGCUUUUUUCAUGGAAGAUGUCAUCGAUGACUAUGUGAUAUGUGACGAAAAGCAACCUGAGGAAGAUUCUCGAUGUGCAGCUUUACUCUGUGAGGCUGUUGAGUUCAUCAAAACUCAAAUCCUUCGCCUACAAAUAGCGUAUCGUAUCGAGAAAGUUAAGUCACUUGCUCAUACGGAAAAAGAUUGGUUCGAAAACCAUUUUCCUAUAGGAUCAAGAUCAGACGGUUCUAUAUGGGAUAAUAUUCGAAUGGAGCCUCACUUUAUUAAGGAAGACGAGGUUGUUGGCCUUGAAGGCCCUAUAAAAACACUGAAAAAGUGGUUGACAGAAGGAAGAAAAGAACGCACCGUCAUCUCUAUUGUAGGAAUGGCAGGAUCGGGAAAAACCACUCUUUCUAAGCAAGUUUUUGACAAGGUCCAUAAACACUUUGAGUGCCAUGUAUUGAUCACAGUGUCUCGAUCCUAUGAUAUUGAAAAGUUGCUGAGGGAUUUGACGAACAAGAUUUGCGAAGAAAGAAAGGAGGAUCCUCCUCGUGUUGAAAGCAUGGAUCGAAUGAAGUUGAUAGAAGAAGUCAACAAGCUCUUGUGCAAGAAGAGGUAUAUUGUCUUGUUUGAUGACGUAUGGAAUGAAACAUUUUGGGAUGACAUUAAAUUUGCUCUGAUUGAUAAUAAAAAUGGAAGUAGGAUAUUAAUCACUACCCGGGUUGGGAAGGUUGUGGAUUUCUGUAAGAAUUCUUCAUUUGUUGAGGUGUAUAAGCUGCAACCUUUAAGUAAAGAAAAAUCACUGGAGUUGUUAUGUAAGAAGGCAUUUGGGUAUGGUUUUGAUGGAUGUUGUCCAAAAGAUUAUGAAGAAGUAGGUCUGGACAUUGUUAGAAAGUGUGAGUGUUUACCUUUAGCGAUUGUUGCCAUUGGUAGUCUUUUAUAUAGAAAAUGUAAAAGUCCACCUGAAUGGCGACGGUUUAGUCAAAAUCUAAGUUCGGAGUUGCAGAGCAAUUCCGAGUUACAAAGUGUAACAAAAAUUUUAAGUUUGAGUUACGAUGAUUUGCCAAAGAAUCUGAAGUCAUGUUUGUUGUAUUUCGGAAUGUAUCCCGAAGAUUAUGAAGUUAAAUGUGGCAGAUUAAUUCAGCAGUGGAUAGCUGAAGGGUUUGUAAAACAAGAUUGCCGAAGAAAUUUAGAAGAAGUUGCACAAGAACAAUUAAUGGAGUUGAUCAGUAGAAGCUUGGUACUAGUAGCAUCAUUUACCACAGAUGGCAAAGUUAAAGCAUGUCGUGUUCAUGACUCAAUACAUGAAAUGAUCCGUGAAAAGAUGAAGAAUACGGGGUUUUGUCACUAUAUUGAUGAGCAUAAUGAUUUUGAGUCAAGUGAUAUCAUUCGACGCUUAACAAUAGCAACAAGUUCCAAAUGUUUAAGUGAAUGUAGGGAAGAAUCACAUGUUCGGUCAAUUAUAUUUUUCACGAAAGAAGAUUUAUCUGAAGACUUCACCAGCGCUUUGCUUGCAAAAUACACGCGGUUGAAAGUGCUGGAUUUUGAAUUUACUCGAUUAUGGGAUGUUCCUAAAAAUUUGGGGAGUUUAAUCCACUUAAAGUAUCUAAGCUUCCGGAAAACAUCCAUAAGCAGUCUUCCAAAAUCCAUUGGUGAGCUGCAGAAUUUGGAGACGUUAGAUGUACGAACAGGUGAGGAGAUUGAGAUACCAAAGGAGAUUACGAAGCUUAGAAAGCUACGCUGUCUUUUCGGUUACCGAAUAUCUACCAUUGAAGUGAAGGACAGUCUUGGAAAACUGACAUCGCUGGAAAAGAUCCAUGAAUUGGUAAUAGAUGAAGAUGGAGUGGUGAUUAGAGAGCUUGGAAAGCUAAAUCAAUUAAGGGAUCUGAGGCUUUCUAAUUUUUUGGGACGUCAUUCUGAUUCUCUUUCUUCUUCAAUAAACGAGAUGCAACUCUUGGAGCGAUUAGAUAUCUUCGUACAAUAUAUGACUGAACCAAUUGACUUGCACAUUACGUCGUCCUUGUCUAAGUUAAGGAAGCUUCACCUUGUUGGCACUUUAAAAGCGUUCCCAAGUUGGAUUCUACAGCUCCAAAGUCUUGUGAAAUUGUAUUUGAAAUAUUCCAUGUUGAAUAACAUUCCAUUGAAAUCUCUGGGAAAUAUCCCAAAUUUGUUGAUCCUCACUUUCGCCUCCAGAUCUUACAAAGGAGAAACUUUACAUUUUGAAAAUGGAGGAUUUGGGAAACUAAAGGAACUACAGUUCAAAGCUUUGUAUAAAUUGAGGUCCAUCGUUAUCGAUAGCGGGGCACUACAAUCCUUGGAAAAGCUUCAUAUGUUUCGUAUUCCAAAACUGAAGACAGUACCCUCUGGCAUUCAGUACUUACAGAAGCUUCAAGUUCUCGACGUCUUAUAUAUGCCGACUGAAUUUCAGCAAAGGAUUUACCCUGAAACCGGAGAAGACCAUUGGAUGAUCAAACAUGUGCCCGAUGUACUUCGUAUGUUGAAUUUCAAUGAUCAGCUGCUAUUGGACCUUGUGGUUAAGAUUGGGGUACGUUUCUAUACAUAUCAAGGAAGAACGCGAAAUUUUACGGGCUAUUGAAUGGAUGGAACGAGCUUCUCGCAAGAGUGCCAGUCAAGUUGUUGGUGGGGGAUGAACCAUUCGAGAUCAAAUUAUGGAGUUGAUCUUUCAGAUUCAUUUACUCCGAUCAGGUUGCAGAGUUGCGUUGACGGCAUUGGAUUGGAAAAUUUAUCAUUUUAAUAGGGAUGGGUAAAAAAUCUAAUUUUCUUGAUCCAAUCCACUUUUGUUCCAAUCCAAUCCAUUUUUAAUCC